UGAAGCCACCGCUGGCACAGUAAUUGCUGGGACCUGGAUGCAGCAAUAUGUUAUUACAUCAAGUCACACGGGUGGUGACAUUGCUGACAACCACCGAGGACCAAGAAGCAUUUAUUGGCUCUGGCAUCCAUGCAAGGAGCCUGCACUGCCUGGUGCCUCACCGUACGUGACUUGUCAGCAGCAGAAGUUGUACAUAAUGACGGUGGGGAAAGCACAAUUAAUUGGCAGCCAUCUGCCAGACGAGUGCUCUGCCUGGUGUGGUGUACCCACUACACAAGGAGGGAGAAGCCGGGUCUGCCUGUCCAGAUGGUGAACACAAAAUGAUUUGGGCACAGGUACUGGAAAAUCCGUGAUAUCCUGGAAAUGGGAAGAAAAUGAGUGGCUAAAUCAAGUCCCUGGUGUGAAUCACUCUGGAUUUGGGACACUGUUUUUCCCGUGCUGUGCUUCGGAAAUAAAAGCUACCCCUGGCUGCAUUGCUAAGCAUCAACGAACACUGAUGGGGAUUAACUAAAACGAGAAGGAAGAGCACAGCUGGAGAGCACCAAAAUGCCCCAGGAGAGGUUCCCCAAAGAGAGGUGAGGUGGAACCGGAGGAGAUGGGGAGCUGAGGUGGGUAUAGCUGUGUGCUUGGAGCUCAGCAGAGCAGAACUGCAGCUCCUUGGGGGGUUUUGGGUCUGAGUAUUUCAACGUCCGGGCUUCUAAGAAUACAAAAAGUUAUCAGCUGUGAAAAUGAGGAAUGUUUUGAGUGGGAAUCAUGGUAAGUAGACAGCUCCAAACAUUGCACUGACACCAAGCAGGGAGGCACUGAGAAAUGCUUCUGGGUGAGCUGGAUUUGGGGAGCAAGGAAAGAUCAUUUUAAUUUUAAUCAUGCAGCUGUUGUCUUUUAUUAUUAUUAUUGAUUAUGCUGUAAUCUGCUUUUUUGCUUUUUACAUCCUGACUGCUUGAAUUAGGGAAAGAAAAUGGAUUCUCUUUGCUGGACGACGAGAAGAUGGAGAGAUUGCCUCGAAAUUAAGAGGUCCUUCAGCGAUCUCAGAGGAAAACCGCAGUUUCUGGGGAGGAAAAAAAAGAGGUUAUUGAGGGCUGGCAGCAAAUCUAUUUACCGGAUCUCCUUGAGCAGCAAUAGCAAAAUAGGCGAUCUCGCACUACAGCGGGACCCCUCCCCAUCAUAAAGGGGCGUCUUCACUUUGGGUUCACUUUCCAUAAUCCGGAUAAUGGAGUAAACCGAAGCAGCUGCCUUUGCGGAGGGGAAAUCCGUCCCCUGAUCGGUCCUCGGGAGAGGGCGGGUUGUAAUAGCGGCGGGGCGAUGCGCAUUGCGGGCACCUCCCGGAGCCAUGGGGGGGUCGGACGGCGCAGAGGGGGCUCCAGGAGCUCAGGGGGGGAACCCCAGAGCCGGAGAUGCCACAAAGAGGGAAGAAAAACGAUCUGUUUUCCUCGGACAACUUGAAAACAGGUAACGUCGAAAGGUUACAGAGGAGGAGGGUGGAGGAAAGCUUCCCUCCUGUUCAGGGGCAGCGGUGUAAUUCGGGCAGCACAGAGAGCAAGCGGGGGAAAAAAAUGAAGAUUAGAGGUGAUGAAUUAAAAAAUAAAUAAAAUUAUUAAUCAGUGCUGGAAUUAUUUCUCCGCUUUGCGGUGUUAUCUCGGAACUGCGUUGUCAGUUUUUCUCAUGGUUUGUUUCGUUUUUGUGCUGCUGUUUGUUCGUUUUUUCUGUACUAUUUAACUAAAGGAGGGGGAAAAAAGAAACCUUUCCUAUCCGCUGCGUUAACGGAGAGAGAAAAUACGUAUUUGUGGGUUGGAUAAUUUGCUUUCUUGGCGACGUCGGCAAAGGCAGCGAGUUGGGAGGGGGGGAAAUCCGGGUGGGAAUGGGCUCACGGCUCUCCGGGUCGG
ensembl:lncRNA